rnacentral:rRNA from 1 species
GAUGAACGCUGGCGGCGUGCCUAAUACAUGCAAGUCGAGCGAACAGACGAGGAGCUUGCUCCUCUGACGUUAGCGGCGGACGGGUGAGUAACACGUGGAUAACCUACCUAUAAGACUGGGAUAACUUCGGGAAACCGGAGCUAAUACCGGAUAACAUGUUGAACCGCAUGGUUCAACAGUGAAAGACGGUCUUGCUGUCACUUAUAGAUGGAUCCGCGCCGCAUUAGCUAGUUGGUAAGGUAACGGCUUACCAAGGCAACGAUGCGUAGCCGACCUGAGAGGGUGAUCGGCCACACUGGAACUGAGACACGGUCCAGACUCCUACGGGAGGCAGCAGUAGGAAAUCUUCCGCAAUGGGCGAAAGCCUGACGGAGCAACGCCGCGUGAGUGAAGAAGGUCUUCGGAUCGUAAAACUCUGUUAUUAGGGAAGAGCAAAUGUGUAAGUAACUAUGCACGUCUUGACGGUACCUAAUCAGAAAGCCACGGCUAACUACGUG